CGCUGCGCGUCUUCCGUAGGGGUAACCUGCGGAGGGAUCAUUACACAAAUAUGAAGGCGGGCUGGAACCUCUCGGGGUUACAGCCUUGCUGAAUUAUUCACCCUUGUCUUUUGCGUACUUCUUGUUUCCUUGGUGGGUUCGCCCACCACUAGGACAAACAUAAACCUUUUGUAAUUGCAAUCAGCGUCAGUAACAAAUUAAUAAUUACAACUUUCAACAACGGAUCUCUUGGUUCUGGCAUCGAUGAAGAACGCAGCGAAAUGCGAUAAGUAGUGUGAAUUGCAGAAUUCAGUGAAUCAUCGAAUCUUUGAACGCACAUUGCGCCCUUUGGUAUUCCAAAGGGCAUGCCUGUUCGAGCGUCAUUUGUACCCUCAAGCUUUGCUUGGUGUUGGGCGUCUUGUCUCUAGCUUUGCUGGAGACUCGCCUUAAAGUAAUUGGCAGCCGGCCUACUGGUUUCGGAGCGCAGCACAAGUCGCACUCUCUAUCAGCAAAGGUCUAGCAUCCAUUAAGCCUUUUUUUCAACUUUUGACCUCGGAUCAGGUAGGGAUACCCGCUGAACUUAAGCAUAUCAAUAAGGCGGAGGAACGCUCCCCCC
rnacentral:rRNA from 1 species